rnacentral:rRNA from 1 species
GAUGAACGCUGGCGGCGUGCCUAAUACAUGCAAGUCGAGCGAAUGGAUUAAGAGCUUGCUCUUAUGAAGUUAGCGGCGGACGGGUGAGUAACACGUGGGUAACCUGCCCAUAAGACUGGGAUAACUCCGGGAAACCGGGGCUAAUACCGGAUCACAUUUUGAACCGCAUGGUUCGAAAUUGAAAGGCGGCUUCGGCUGUCACUUAUGGAUGGACCCGCGUCGCAUUAGCUAGUUGGUGAGGUAACGGCUCACCAAGGCAACGAUGCGUAGCCGACCUGAGAGGGUGAUCGGCCACACUGGGACUGAGACACGGCCCAGACUCCUACGGGAGGCAGCAGUAGGGAAUCUUCCGCAAUGGACGAGAGUCUGACGGAGCAACGCCGCGUGAGUGAUGAAGGCUUUCGGGUCGUAGAACUCUGUUGUUAGGGAAGAACAAGUGCUAGUUGAAUAAGCUGGCACCUUGACGGUACCUAACCAGAAAGCCACGGCUAACUACGUGCCAGCAGCCGCUGUAA